rnacentral:rRNA from 1 species
GGGCAGCACGGGCAGCAAUGCCUGGUGGCGACCGGCGCACGGGUGCGUAACGCGUAUGGAACCUGCCCCCCGCCGGGGGAUAGCCCGCCGAAAGGCGGAUUAAUACCCCAUGGACCCUGACCCCCGCAUGGGGCGUCAGGGUAAAGCUACGGCGGCGGGGGAUGGCCAUGCGUGCCAUUAGCUGGUUGGCGGGGUAACGGCCCACCAAGGCGACGAUGGCUAGGGGGUCUGAGAGGAUGGUCCCCCACACUGGUACUGAGACACGGACCAGACUCCUACGGGAGGCAGCAGUGAGGAAUAUUGGUCAAUGGGCGGAAGCCUGAACCAGCCAUGCCGCGUGCAGGAUGACGGCCCUACGGGUUGUAAACUGCUUUUGCGCGGGAAGAAUAACCCCCUCGUGAGGGGGGACGCCGGUACCGCGCGAAUAAGGAUCGGCUAACUCCGUGCCAGCAGCCGCGGUAAUACGGAGGAUCCGAGCGUUAUCCGGAUUUACUGGGUUUAAGGGGUGCGUAGGCGGGCGCCUAAGUCAGCGGUGAAAGGCAGCGGCUCAACCGUUGGAAUGCCGUUGAGACUGGGCGCCUUGGAUUCGGUCGGGGCCGGCGGAAUGCGUGGUGUAGCGGUGAAAUGCUUAGAUAUCACGCGGAACGCCGAUCGCGAAGGCAGCUGGCCAGGCCGAGAUCGACGCUGAUGCACGAAAGCGUGGGGAUCAAACAGGAUUAGAUACCCUGGUAGUCCACGCCGUAAACGAUGAUCACUGGAUGCCGGCGACGCGCAGUCGGCGUCUGAGCGAGAGCAUUAA